AAGAAGAAGAAAAAUGACAAUCACUAUAUUGAUUCGAGAUAAUAUAGAUAUAGAUACAUAUUUAUUUAUUAUAAUUGAAACAAUACUUCUACUAUUUAUAUUAUUAUAUUUUCUCCCGUUCACCCCCGUCUUUUUUCCCUACUUCUAUGAUGAUGAGAACGAGAAUGAUAGAUAGAUA
rnacentral:ribozyme from 14 species